rnacentral:lncRNA from 1 species
GCAACUUGCUUUGGGUCCGUUUCCACGCUUUGGUCUUUCUCUCUUGGCAGUAAAUCUUGCUGCUCCUCACUUUUUGGGUUAGUACUACGUUUAUGAGCUGUCACACUCACCGGGAAGGUCUACAGCUUCACUCCUGAAGCCAGUGAGACCGUUAACCCACCAGGAGGAACGGGCAACUCAGACCGCGCCACCUUUAAGAGCUGUAACACUCACCGCGAAGGUCUGCGGCUUCACUCCAGAAGUCAGCGAGACCACGAAUCCUGCGGGAGGAACGAACUCCGACCGCGCCACCUUUAAGAGCUGUAACACUCACUGCGAAGGUCUGUGGCUUCACUCUUGAAGUCAGCAAGACCACGAACCCACCAGAAGGAAGAAACUCCGGACACAUCUGAACAUCUGAAGGAACUCGGGACACGCCAUCUUUAAGAACUGUUAACACUCACUGCGGGGGUCUGCGGCUUCAUUCCUGACGUCAGCGAGACCAAGAACCCACCGGAAGGAACCAGUUCCAGACAUACUGGGACCGUGUGGAUACGUCGGUAAACCUGACAUGCACAUCUUUAGGAGAUAGCUGGAGAAAACCCAUGCAGAUUGUGGGUUUAUCCCCAGCUGGGGAUAGAUUUUUUUUCCCCAUCAAUAUUGUAAAGAAAACUGAAUGAAUUAGUUAUUCAAGAACCAGCUGUACCUCUUACAUAGGGUUGUCCCGAGGGCUAUGAGAGAUCAUGUUUGUAAAGUGCCCAAGAAGCAGUGGCUACUAUUAUUACUAACUUGCUUUUUCUGUGCAGUAACUUUAUAAGAUAAAUUUUGCCACAGUUUUAUAGAUGAAGAGACUGAGGCAAAUGGAGGUCCCUUAAUUUACCAGAAGUCUUCUACCUUAAGAAAGACAAGACUCGGAUUCUAAUUUAAGUCAUUUUGAUACAUUCUACUCUCCCCACCACAGCAUAUUAAAUGUAAUGCACACUCAAAAAUACUGGGUUUUUUUUUUGUUUUUUUUUUUUGAGACAGAGUUUCGCACUUUUUGCCCAGGCUGGAGUGCAAUGGCGCGACCUUGGCUCCACCUCUUGGGUUCAAAUGAUUCUCCUGCCUCAGCCUUCUGAGUAGCUGGGAUUACAGGCAUGCAUCAGCACGCCUGGCUAAUUUUGUAUUUUUAGUAGAGAUGGGGUUUCUCCAUGUUGCUCAGGCUGGUCUCGAACUCCUGACUUCAGGUGAUCCUCCCACCUAGGCCUCCCAGAGUGUUGGGAUUAUAGGUGUGAGCCACUGCGCCUGGCCUGGAUUUCUCUAUUUGUUUAUGCGAAAUCGUCUACUGGCAUUACCAUCUCUCAAAACAUUUUCCUGGACUUUUAACUAAAGAUUUUUUCCAUUGUAAUGGGCACAAGUGCAAUUUCCCUUUCAUUUUAAGAGACUGUGAGAAGUAACAAAUCAGGUGAUGGUCUUGUUUUCCCAAGCUGCUACAGAGCUUCUGCAGCUCCAAGCAUGACCACUAUAUUUGGCUGCUUAAAAGCAUAACAAGGGCAGAAAUCAUAAAGGCUUUGCCCAGAGGGCCUUGAUUGUCCUUGCCUUCUUGUCCUUUGGUGAGAACUUCAUUGGUGGUGGCUCCAAAAAUCAGGAGACUUUCUGUGAUGAAUUCACCAUAAGAACGUGGGACCCAGCCUCCCUUGAAGGACGUCCUAUAUGAUGCCUGUUUCCAAGGGAAGAAGUAAAGUCAAGAAACAAGAUAUCCUCAAGCUACUCUUAGGAUCAGUGUCUGCAUAGAUCUGGCACACAGAAAUGCAAGGAAACAAUUUGUGCAAAGCAUUAAAAAAAAAAGGGGGGACCCUGAGAGUAUAACAAGUGCUCCUGAGAGAGGACAGACGGAGAGGACGCAUGGGCAGGGAUGGCCGCCCUGAGCAGCUGAUGUUCGAGCUAAGAUCUGAAAGGUGCAUGAUUUCCCACUUACCUCCCGCAACCACUACCACCCACGUUGUCCACAGUAUUCAGCUGUCUCAGGGAGGAUCACAAUUAUUCUAAUGGGACUGCAAAGAGUGAAGGACACAGCUUUUAACAUCAGGCGGAGCUAAAUGGGGGAUGGAAGGUUCUUGAGAAGAUUUAGCUAAAGAAGCUAAUUGUUAAGUUAGGCAUCUGAGUAUAAUAUUCGAAUCCUACAAUUUGGAACCCAUGGGCACUUCUAGAUUGGAUCUUGCAGAGAUUUUUUACAACAGAAAUAAUGGAAAGGCAAAAGAAAACAUUGAGUAAUAACCAACCCAAGCAAGUCCAGCCUCUUUCUGCAGAAGCAGAUAAUCAGGAUGACUCCACCUUUGUACCUGACUGAGGAACUUAGUGAACCCUGAAGAAAUGAUGAUUAAAGAGACAAUGAAGAGGCCAGGCGCAGUGGCUCAUGCCUGUAAUCCCAGCACUUUGGGAGGCCGAGGUAGGCGGAUCAUGAGGUCAGGAAAUCGAGACCAUCCUGGCUAACAUGGUGAAACUCUAUCUCUACUAAAAAUACAAAAAAUAAGCUGGGUGUGGUGGCACGUGCCUGUAAUCCCAGCUACUCAGGAAGCUGAGACAGGAGAAUCGCUUGAACCCAGGAGGUGGAGGUUGCAGUGAGCCGAAGUCGUGCCGUUGCACUCCAGUCCGGGUGACAGAGUGAGACUCUGUCUCAAAAAAAAAAAAAAAAAAAAAGGACAAUGAAGACAGGAGACAUUGGGCUGUGCCCUUCUAGAUAUGACAGGGAGCAAAUAAGCCAACUCCAGGUCAGUAUAAAAUCCUAGGUGAUCAUUAAAAUCACUUAAAUAAGCCAACUCCAGGUCAGCAUAAAAUCCUAGGCGAUCAUUAAAAUCACUUAAAAUUAAAAUCCUAGGUGAUCAUUAAAACCACUUCAAAAAGACAUGUUUUGGGAGCUAUGUGUUCAGGGAAACAGAGGAGAAAACAACUGGGACUCUAUGAGGUGCCAGGUUUGAAGCUGUAUGGAUGUGACUGAUGUCAGGUUUUCAUGAGCCCAGUGGAAAAUUUAGAGGCAGUAAACUGGGCAACUGGGGCUGUUGGUGCUUGAGUAAUGCUUGGGCAUCAAGAUCUCCAAACUGUGUGGCCGCACCUGUGGUCCUAGCUACUCAGGAGGCUGAGGUGGGAGGAUAGUUGGAGCCUGGGAGAUUGAGGCUGCAGUGAGCUGUGAUGGUGCCACUGUACUCUAGCCUGGGUGACAGAGCGAGACUUGUCUCAAAAAAAAAAAAAUCUCCAAACUGGACUCUCUCUCACUAGGGAUUUGUCUCUUUCUCCUCUCCUUCUCUUCCUUCCUAAUUAUCUCCUUUUCUUUAUUCACAAUAUAUAUAUCCUCAACUAUGGAUAAGUGUGCUUAUACUCAGCUAUAUUUUCUUUUUUUCCAGCUAUAUUGAUGUAUAAUUGACAAAUAAAAAUUAGAUAUUGUUAAGGUGUACAACAUAGUGCUUGACAGAUAUAUACAUUGUGAAAUAAUUACCACAACCAAGCAAGCUAGUUAACAUAUCCAUCACCUCAUGUAGUUACUUUUUUGGGUUUUUUUUUUUUUGGUGUGGUGAGAACACUGAAAAUCAACUCUCUUAGCAAAUUUUGAGUAUUCAAUGAAGUAUACUUGAAUAACACUGUAUACAAAUUCAAGUAUAAAUUCAAGUAUACAAUGCUAUUAGCUAUAGUCAUCCUGCUAUAUAUUAGUUCUCCAGAACCUACUCAUCAUAUAAGUUAACGUUUGUACCCUUUGCCCAAGACCGCCCCACUUCCUCCUCCCACCAGCUGCUGGUAACAACCAUUCUACUCUCUGUUUCUAUGAGUUUGACUUUUUUAGGUUUUGCAUAGAAGUGACAUCAUGCAGUAUUUAUCUUUCUGUGUCUGGCUUGUUUCAUUUAGCAUAACGUCUUGCAGGUUCAUUCAUGUUGUCGCAAAUGGCAGGAUUUCCUUAUUUUUAAAGGCUGAAUAUUCCAUUGUGUGUGAAAAUAUAUGAUAUCAACUGUAUUUUCAUAUAUGUGUCUAACUGGAUGGCCUCUUAAUAAACUUUAAAGGAUUAAAGAUUGUCAUUAGAGAAUUCUAAAUAAGGUGGUUUUAGGUUCAUAUUAUACAAUACAUGUAAUGUGCAUGCAUUAUGUCGACUCUUAUUAAAUUCUAAGUCCUACUCAAUAGUGUUGAGAGCAUUAAUGCACCCAAGAAUUUUGUUUUUUUAUUUAACUUAGUGAGAAAAUAUAACUUAAUAUAUAGCAAUUCACUUAGAUUGAUAUAGAAGUAAUUAACACCACAUUCUUAUUAAUAGAUUUCU